AUGCAGAAUCUGUUGGAAAACAUUGAAACAGAGAAACCAAAAAUAGUAACUGAAUUUAAGCAACUGCGUGAAUUCCUAGACGAAAAAGAACAGGACUUGCUGACUCAAUUGCAAGUUCUGAAUAAAGAGAUUCAAAACAUCUGUAAUGAAAAGACUGCCAGACUUUCUGAGAAAAUGUCCUCUAUGGAGACAGAUAUCAAGAAGAUGGAAGAAAAACAUAACCAGCCAGAAAAUGAAUUGUUGCAGGACAUCAAAGGAUCAUUGAAAAGGUAUAAGAAGGAAAAAUUUGAGGUGCCCCAAACUUUAUUUCUUCAUCAAAGGAAGCAUAUUGAACAUUUUGGUAAAAUCCAUGAUAGUUUGCAAACUGCCAUCAAUACAUUCAAAGCCACUAUAUUUUCACCGACUCCAGAGCAAGGAGGAUCUAGCAAGAACUGCCCCAUACCAGUUCGUAGUGUGCAAAUGAUACCCAAAUAUGGAUUUUUUGAAUUUCUUGAUUCCUUAGAGCAUAAGCGUUUGGAAAAACCAGAAUCUCCAUAGCCUUCUGGAAACGUGACCUUUUGGAAAUUAAUUGGCAUUCACACUAUUUGGAAUAAUCAAAACCUUUUUUGUAAAGUGUGAUCUUCCUGAGAAGAGCUAAAAACUCAUUUGAGUCAAUCCUCUCUUUAGUGGUAAUUAUUCACUAGUAUCCAUGCAAGGCCAUUUAGAUUUCUCAGCUAUUAGACUGAUAUUUCUUUGAACUGUUGGGAACAAAGUUUAUGCCAAUGCACAAAAAUAUACAACGGAUCUUCAGAAGUGUUAUUUCAGUUGCCCAAAAACAACUAUCUCCCAUAAAAUAUAUUUGGUUUUAUAUCAUGCUCUCAAGAGACAAAAUGAUUAGUCUUUGUUAAAAGUAAUAUAGUUGAUUUACCUACAAACUUCAUGUAUUCAGCAUAUAGGUACAUUGCUUAUCAAUCCAGUUACAGAUAGGUUUGAAGUAGUUUCUCUGUACAGAUAACACAGGACAUCCUUCUUAUAAUCGACAGCAACAUCUUUACAUUCUGAGAGUCUGUAUAAUUGCUGUAUAAUUGCUUUGAGCCCCCUUAGGGGUGAGAAAAGCAGUCUAUAAAUGAAUAAAUAUAAAUAAAUACAUAAAUAAAUACAUAAAAAGAGAUCUGGAUAAAACUGCCACAGAUUGCCACGGAGGCCCAAAUUAUUAACUUCAUUUUCAUGUUGGCAAUUUAGAAAUGUAUCUAUAAUUUGAAAUGUUGUUAUUCUUAAUAUGAGGGCAGUAAUGGUUUAGGUUAAUAUCCUUUGUGUUUUUUAUGUUCAAUAUUCUGUAAAUUGUAAAUUCCUUUGACAUGGACAUUAGCUAACAAUAAAUGUAUUGAAUGCUACCUGAUUCUUGGGUUUUUUUUACAGUAGUUUUGGUAGAGAACAUAUUUUUGGAAAAAGCAAUGCAGCCCUUUGACAGGACAAAAGGGGAUUAAAUGAUUUGCCAGGUACCUUAUUGAGUUUUUUUAUUUCAACUAUUAUAUUCAGCCAUUUGUCUUAAAUAACAGAAUUUUAACCAAGAGUAAACAAAAGAAUGAACAAAUUCCAAGGGCACAAACAGUAAUAAUUUGGCAAAAUAGAGAAAAGAAGCUACCAUUGUUUAGCACUUUAAAGUGGGGAUGUCAUAACUGAAAUAGAAUGUUGAGAAUAUAAAACUUGGUUGAUCUCACACAGUGCCAUUAAUCACAGCAACAGCAAUACCAGGGUCUUCUCCAAAGGAUAACUUGUCCCCGUUUCACCCCUAAAGUAGUGGGCAUGCCAUUCAAGCGGGCAUUUAUAUCCCCUAUCAGGCAGGGGGACAGAAGAAGACAAUGUUGCUGGCUAAGAACCUGGGCAGUUUGGGCUCUGUCAUGCAGAGAGGUCUUUUCUACAUACAGACAGAUAAUUUCCGGGAGAGAGAGAAUUCAGAGGGCUUAAGAAGGAUUUUCAAAAUGAUACUAUGGGACCAAGGGAAAAGGAUGGGAAAAAAUAGUUUUGCAUUUAAACUAACUUCAAAAGUGAUCUAGAAGCUUGCAUCUCCUGAUGAAGAAAUUUUGUGCUACAUUUAUUUUCACAUUUUUGAACCAGAUCUAUUUCUUCUGGGUAAUAAAUGAAGGGACAUAGUGGUUUCAGCGUUGGACUCUGGAUAUUAGGGACCAAAUCCCUAAUCAGCAUUAAAUAUUCAUUUGCAAUUCACAU
ensembl:lncRNA